rnacentral:lncRNA from 1 species
AUGAGAUUUAAACAGAAUUCUGGCGGAUCUGAGCUUUACUCACCCCAGCAAUCUGAGGCAGCUGCAACGUGUAAUGUUUAUGUUGUUUCGAUCUGUGGGAGAGAAAAAAAAACCCACUUGAUUCCCUUGAAGGAAACCCUCAAUAGGUGUGUGGCGUCGGGGGUGGGGCGGUGGCUGGAUCUCGGUGCCCCGCGGGGCCUUCCGAACCAGCACGCCCCUCGGAGCGUGGAGGGGAACCGGGCACGUUCUCUGUGGAAGGGGAGGAGGAAGGGCUCAACCCUCCGGACUCGUCCCGCAGCACUUCUAGUUUAUAAGUUAUACCGCACGCAACUCCGGUGCGGGCGACCGACGCCGGACACCGCUGCUCUGGAGACGCCCCAGGCCGCCCCCAGGGCCCGGCCCGGCCGCUCCCUCCCGGAGCGCCUCCGCGCCCCAGACGCCAGGGCAGGCGCAGGCCGAGGGGUCCCCUCUCCGUGCGGCCCUUCGGCUCCCCGCGGCCCCCCUCGGGCAGCCGGCCCGCCGCAGUCGCAGGAGCACCCACCUCUGGCCUACACCGCGGCCAAAGGAUCCGCCACUACUUCAGCUCUCCAAGGAAACGGAGCCACUACGGCGGCAGGCCGACAUUCGCCCGACUUCCGCUUCCGGCGGGCAAGCGCGGGGGCGGGCCUGCCAGGUCUCGCGAGAUCACGGGCGCGCAGUGCGAGUCCCUCCGCGUCUUUGGAGGGCGGGAGGGGGCUGCGUGCGGAGUGUGGCCGGCGGCCCGCGGGAGGGGCGAUGCCGGGGGUGCGCCCUCAGCCCGCGCCCCCCGGGCGGGACACGGCGUCGGGGUGUGUGUGUGUGUGCGCGGUGCCCCCUGGCUGGGCGCCGGGGACCGGUGGGGACGAGCGGGCACAGGCGUUCAGGAAGAGGGCGGCGGUGGCGGCGGGCACGAGCGCAGGGCUUCCAGCCCGGCCGGCCGCGGAGGAGCGCGUCGGACGGAGCGGUCGGCGCUCACUGCCCCUGGGCGGGCGGACCGGCGCGGGAUUCCCAAACGGCUCAUAUCGACCAAGUGAUCAAGAGGCAAAACACAGCAACAGACGUCCCGGGCUAAUCCUAGAAGCUAAAGACUCCUACUUUCAGCAGCUGUGA